rnacentral:rRNA from 2 species
GAAACGAUGUGGGAAGGCCCAGACAGCCAGGAUGUUGGCUUAGAAGCAGCCAUCAUUUAAAGAAAGCGUAAUAGCUCACUGGUCGAGUCGGCCUGCGCGGAAGAUGUAACGGGGCUAAACCAUGCACCGAAGCUGCGGCAGCGACACUGUGUGUUGUUGGGUAGGGGAGCGUUCUGUAAGCCUGUGAAGGUGUGUCGUGAGGCAUGCUGGAGGUAUCAGAAGUGCGAAUGCUGACAUAAGUAACGAUAAAGCGGGUGAAAAGCCCGCUCGCCGGAAGACCAAGGGUUCCUGUCCAACGUUAAUCGGGGCAGGGUGAGUCGACCCCUAAGGCGAGGCCGAAAGGCGUAGUCGAUGGGAAACGGGUUAAUAUUCCCGUACUUGGUGUUACUGCGAAGGGGGGACGGAGAAGGCUAUGUUGGCCGGGCGACGGUUGUCCCGGUUUAAGCGUGUAGGUGUGUGUUCCAGGUAAAUCCGGUUCACUUUAACACUGAGGCGUGACGACGAGGCACUACGGUGCUGAAGCAACAAAUGCCCUGCUUCCAGGAAAAGCCUCUAAGCAUCAGGUAACAUCAAAUCGUACCCCAAACCGACACAGGUGGUCAGGUAGAGAAUACCAAGGCGCUUGAGAGAACUCGGGUGAAGGAACUAGGCAAAAUGGUGCCGUAACUUCGGGAGAAGGCACGCUGACACGUAGGUGAAGUGAUUUACUCAUGGAGCUGAAGUCAGUCGAAGAUACCAGCUGGCUGCAACUGUUUAUUAAAAACACAGCACUGUGCAAACACGAAAGUGGACGUAUACGGUGUGACGCCUGCCCGGUGCCGGAAGGUUAAUUGAUGGGGUCAGCGCAAGCGAAGCUCCUGAUCGAAGCCCCGGUAAACGGCGGCCGUAACUAUAACGGUCCUAAGGUAGCGAAAUUCCUUGUCGGGUAAGUUCCGACCUGCACGAAUGGCGUAAUGAUGGCCAGGCUGUCUCCACCCGAGACUCAGUGAAAUUGAACUCGCUGUGAAGAUGCAGUGUACCCGCGGCAAGACGGAAAGACCCCGUGAACCUUUACUAUAGCUUGACACUGAACAUUGAGCCUUGAUGUGUAGGAUAGGUGGGAGGCUUUGAAGUGUGGACGCCAGUCUGCAUGGAGCCGACCUUGAAAUACCACCCUUUAAUGUUUGAUGUUCUAACGUGGACCCGUUACCCGGGUUGCGGACAGUGUCUGGUGGGUAGUUUGACUGGGGCGGUCUCCUCC